rnacentral:rRNA from 1 species
CUUUUCGGAGGGCUGCUUUGGGAUGGGCCUGUGGCCAAUUAGCUAGUUGGUGGGGUAAGAGCCUACCAAGGCGACGAUCGGUAGCUGGUCUGAGAGGACGAUCAGCCACACUGGGAUUGAGAACGGCCCAGACUCCUACGGGGGGCAGCAGUGAGGAAUUUUCCGCAAUGGACGAAAGUCUGACGGAGCAACGCCGCGUGCAGGAGGACGCUUUUCGGAGUGUAAACUGCUUUUCUGUGGGAAGAGUUUGGACGGUACCACAGGAAGAAGCCCCGGCUAACUACGUGCCAGCAGCCGCGGUAAUACGUAGGGGGCGAGCGUUGUCCGGAGUUACUGGGCGUAAAGGGCGUGCAGGCGGUCGUACGCGUUUUGUGUGACAGCGGGUGGCUUAACUACCCGAGUAUGCGAAAGACGGUAUGACUUGAGGGCUCGAGAGGGACACGGAAUUCCGGGUGGAGUGGUGAAAUGCGUAGAGAUCCGGAGGAACACCGAAGGCGAAGGCAGUGUCCUGGCGAGUGACUGACGCUGAGGUGCGAAAGCUAGGGGAGCGAACGGGAUUAGAUACCCCGGUAGUCCUAGCCGUAAACGAUGACCACCAGUGUGGGAGGUAUCAACCCCUUCCGUGCCGGAGUAAACACACUAAGUGGUCCGCCUGGGGAGUACG